AUGCAGAUUUUGGGUGGGUGGGCGACUCAGGGACCCGGGCGACUCAAUCCCGUCCUUUCUCUCUCCGCAGGGCUGCGGGCGGCCGUGCAACUGGUGGGGUCCGGAGGUGGUCUCCAGACACCCGGGGGGUCCCUGCGCCUCCUCUGCAAGGCCUCCGGCUUCACCUUCAGCAGCUUCGGCAUGAACUGGGUGCGACAGGCGCCUGGGAAGGGGCUCGAGUACGUUGCGGGUAUUAGCAGCAGUGGUAGUAGCACCUACUACGCGCCGUCGGUCAAGGGACGCUUCACCAUCUCGAGGGACAACUCCCAGAGCACGGUCACGCUGCAGAUGAACAGCCUCAGGGCCGACGACACGGCCACCUACUACUGCGGGAGACAUCAACGCGCGCUCAUUGGCCCCGCCGCGGCCGGAGGGGGCGUGGCUUCGGUGGGGUGA